rnacentral:rRNA from 1 species
UACGGAGGGGGCUAGCGUUGUUCGGAAUUACUGGGCGUAAAGCGCACGUAGGCGGCUUUUGUAAGUUAGAGGUGAAAGCCCAGGGCUUAACCCUGGAAUUGCCUUUAAGACUGCAUCGCUAGAAUCGUGGAGAGGUGAGUGGAAUUCCGAGUGUAGAGGUGAAAUUCGUAGAUAUUCGGAAGAACACCAGUGGCGAAGGCGACUCACUGGACACGUAUUGACGCUGAGGUGCGAAAAGCGUGGGGGAGCAAACAGG